AUUGAACGCUGGCGGCAUGCCUUACACAUGCAAGUCGAACGGUAACGGGCCUUCGGGUGCCGACGAGUGGCGAACGGGUGAGUAAUACAUCGGAACGUGCCCGAUCGUGGGGGAUAACGAGGCGAAAGCUUUGCUAAUACCGCAUACGAUCUACGGCUGACAGCAGGGGACCGCAAGGCCUUGCGCGGACGGAGCGGCCGAUGGCAGAUUAGGUAGUUGGUGGGAUAAAAGCUUACCAAGCCGACGAUCUGUAGCUGGUCUGAGAGGAUGAUCAGCCACACUGGGACUGAGACACGGCCCAGACUCCUACGGGAGGCAGCAGUGGGGAAUUUUGGACAAUGGGCGCAAGCCUGAUCCAGCCAUGCCGCGUGCAGGAUGAAGGCCUUCGGGUUGUAAACUGCUUUUGUACGGAACGAAAAGCCUUCUUUUAAUACAGGAGGGUCAUGACGGUACCGUAAGAAUAAGCACCGGCUAACUACGUG
rnacentral:rRNA from 1 species